GACGAACGCUGGCGGCGUGCUUAACACAUGCAAGUCGAACGGAAAGGCCCUGCUUUUGUGGGGUGCUCGAGUGGCGAACGGGUGAGUAUCACGUGAGUAACCUGCCCUUGACUUUGGGAUAACUUCAGGAAACUGGGGCUAAUACCGGAUAGGAGCUCCUGCUGCAUGGUGGGGGUUGGAAAGUUUCGGCGGUUGGGGCUGGACGCGCGGCUUAUCAGCUUGUUGGUGGGGUAGUGGCUUACCAAGGCUUUGACGGGUAGCCGGCCUGAGAGGGUGACCGGCCACAUUGGGACUGAGAUACGGCCCAGACUCCUACGGGAGGCAGCAGUGGGGAAUAUUGCACAAUGGGCGGAAGCCUGAUGCAGAAACGCCGCGUGCGGGAUGACGGCCUUCGGGUUGUAAACCGCUUUCGCCUGUGACGAAGCGUGAGUGACGGUAAUGGGUAAAGAAGCACCGGCUAACUACGUG
rnacentral:rRNA from 1 species